rnacentral:rRNA from 1 species
GGGUCAGUAGGUUGGUCGUGCCACCGGUACGUACUGGUCUCACUGAUUCCUCCUUCCUGAAGAACCGUAAUGCCAUUAAUUUGGUGUUGCGGGGAGACAGGACUGUUACUUUGAAAAAAUUAGAGUGUUUAAAGCAAGCUAACGCUUGAAUACAUUAGCAUGGAAUAAUGAAAUAGGACGAUCGAUCCUAUUUUGCUGGUUUCUAGGAUUGGCGUA